GGCUGGCCCAAGUGUGGUGGUGUCUAUAACUAACUGAUCACAACUAGUUACAAAUGUCUUUGUUGUUUCUCCACUGUCACUGUUUCAAUUAACUAGCUUUAA
ensembl:misc_RNA Y_RNA Y RNA